AUCUACAGCCAUGCCACCUUGAAUAAGCCUGAUGUCUGAUCUUGGAAGCUAAGCAGGGUUGGGCCUGGUUAAUACUUGGCUGGGAGACCACCUAGGAAGACCAGGUGCUGUAGGCA
rnacentral:rRNA from 1 species